GACGAACGCUGGCGGCGUGCUUAACACAUGCAAGUCGAACGGAAAGGCCCCUUUGGGGGUACUCGAGUGGUGCACGGGUGAGUAACACGUGAGUAACCUGCCCUUGACUUCGGGAUAACUUCAGGCAACUGGGGCUAAUACCGGCUAGGAAUCCUUGCUGCAUGGUGGGGGUUGGAAAGCUUCGGCGGUUUUGGGUGGACUCGCGGCUUAUCAGCUUGGUGGUGGGGUAGUGGCUUACCAAGGCUUUGACGGGUAGGCGGCCUGCGAGGGCGACCGGCCACAUUGGGACUGAGGUACGGCCCAGACUCCUACGGGAGGCAGCAGGGGGGAAUAUUGCACAAUGGGCGGAAGCCUGAUGCAGCAACGGCGCGGGCGGGAUGACGGGCUUCGGGUUGUAAACCGCGUUCAGCAGGGGCGAAGCUGGUGGUGACGGUACCUGCAGAAGAAGCACCGGCUAACUACGUG
rnacentral:rRNA from 1 species